GAUGAACGCUGGCGGCGUGCUUAACACAUGCAAGUCGAACGGAAAGGCUCCUUCUUGGAGGGGUAUUCGAGUGGCGCACGGGUGUGUAUCACGCGUGGGAACUGCCCUGCACUUCGGGAUAAGCCUGGGAAACUGGGACUAAUACCGGAUAGGACGCUGGUUAUGAAACGAUUGUGGAACGUUUUUAGGUGUGGGAUGAGGGCGCGGCCUAUCAGCUUGUUGGUGGGGUCAUGGCCUACCAAGGCGUCCUCGGGUUGCCGGCCUGGGAGGGUGAACUGCCACAUUAGGACGGAGCUGCGGCCCGGACGCCAACGGGAGGCAGCGGAGGAAAAUAGAGCACAAUAGGCUGAGGCCUGGUGCAGCGGCGCAGCGUCGGGGAUAACGGCCUUGGGGUUGUAAACUCCUUUCGCUAGGGAAGAAGCGCAAGUGACGGUACCUGGAGAAGAAGCACCGGCUAACUACGUG
rnacentral:rRNA from 1 species